rnacentral:rRNA from 1 species
CCUACGGGUGGCAGCAGUGAGGAAUAUUGGUCAAUGGCCGGAAGGCUGAACCAGCCAAGCCGCGUGAAGGACGAAGGUGCCAAGCAUUGUAAACUUCUUUUGUCAAGGGACAAAAUCAGGCUCGAGAGCCUGACCGAGGGUACUUGAAGAAAAAGCAUCGGCUAACUCCGUGCCAGCAGCCGCGGUAAUACGGGGGAUGCGAGGGUUAUCCGGAUUUAUUGGGUUAAAAGGGUGCGUAGGCGGACUGUUAAGUCAGCGGUAAAAGCCCGGGGCUCAACCCCGGCGAGCCGUUGAAACUGGCUGGCUUGAGAGGGCGAGAGGUAGGCGGAAUGCGCAGUGGAGCGGUGAAAUGCUUAGAUAUUGCGCAGAACGCCGAUGGCGAAGGCAGCAUACCGGCGGCGAUCUGACGCUGAGGCACGAAAGCGUGGGUAUCGAACAGGAUUAGAUACCCUUGUAGUC